GAUGAACGCUGGCGGCGUGCCUAAUACAUGCAAGUCGAGCGAAUGGAUUAAGAGCUUGCUCUUAUGAAGUUAGCGGCGGACGGGUGAGUAACACGUGGGUAACCUGCCCAUAAGACUGGGAUAACUUCGGGAAACCGGGGCUAAUACCGGAUAACAUUUUGAACCGCAUGGUUCGAAAUUGAAAGGCGGCUUCGGCUGUCACUUAUGGAUGGACCAGCGUCGCAUUAGCUAGUUGGUGAGGUAACGGCUCACCAAGGCAACGAUGCGUAGCCGACCUGAGAGGGUGAUCGGCCACACUGGGACUGAGACACGGCCCAGACUCCUACGAGAGGCAGCAGUAGGGAAUCUUCCGCAAUGGACGAAAGUCUGACGGAGCAACGCCGCGUGAGUGAUGAAGGCUUUCGGGUCGUAAAACUCUGUUGUUAGGGAAGAACAAGUGCUAGUUGAAUAAGCUGGCACCUUGACGGUACCUAACCAGAAAGCCACGGCUAACUACGUGCCAGCAGCCGCGGUAA
rnacentral:rRNA from 1 species